CUAGAAAUAUAAUUAACCGUAAAAGAAUGUUGGAGGGGCUACCAACUAUAACAAUAUUCUUUGGGAUGAUCAAAAGGGACCUUACUGGCUAGGAAGAAGGACAUGCGAUGAGAUGAGAUGAGAUGAUGGGCCAACAAAACGGGUGUGCGCUAAACGGGUUUGGCAAAGUAGGGAUCGGGGGAAUUUUAUGCACUCCUCAAGAAAGGCUUGACUUGUAGUUUGAACCCUACAACACGGUGAACAAAGGCACGGACUUGCCGAACAUCGCAAUUAGCUGAGCGUUGUCAUGGACAAACAGGAGGCGAAUCAACAAAGUAAGUAUAUAUUUGCUGCCAGAUAUCAAACGACCUAAUUUUUGUUUUUAUUUGUCUUUAUUUUUAUUUUUAUGGUGAAUCAAGUGGUCUAAAAUUAAACAAAUUGUCUCAAACCAUUAAUUGUGUGGAUGUAUCGAAUGUCAGGCCACACAGUAUGAUUGUAUUUUGGGUCUGCAGAUGCGUAGUAUGAAUUUUGUAUGUAAGCCAUUUAUGUAAAACGAUACGUAUCAAUCAGAUAAUUCAAAUCUUUUUUUUUUU